ACCGUUAGCCUUUGAGGUGAAGUUCUGUCAUACACUCAGGCUGUGGCUCUGUGAAAGUCAGUGCAUCACAGAACUUUGUCUCGAAAGCUUUCUA
rnacentral:pre_miRNA from 1 species